UUCAUUUCAUUUGAAAUCGAGUCGUGGC
rnacentral:sRNA from 1 species